rnacentral:rRNA from 1 species
UGGGGAAUAUUGGACAAUGGGGGGAACCCUGACCCAGCCAUGCCGCGUGUGUGAAGAAGGCCUUAUGGUUGUAAAGCACUUUAAGCGAGGAGGAGGGUACUGGUAUUAAUACUACCAGGUACUGGACGUUACUCGCAGAAUAAGCACCGGCUAACUCUGUGCCAGCAGCCGCGGUAAUACAGAGGGUGCAAGCGUUAAUCGGAAUUACUGGGCGUAAAGCGCGCGUAGGUGGUUCGUUAAGUUGAAUGUGAAAGCCCCGGGCUCAACCUGGGAACUGCAUCCAAAACUGGCGAGCUAGAGUAGGGCAGAGGGUGGUGGAAUUUCCUGUGUAGCGGUGAAAUGCGUAGAUAUAGGAAGGAACACCAGUGGCGAAGGCGACCACCUGGGCUCAUACUGACACUGAGGUGCGAAAGCGUGGGGAGCAAACAGG